rnacentral:tRNA from 1 species
GCACUGGUGGUUCAGUGGUAGAAUUUUCACCUUCCAUGCGGUAGACUAGGGUUCAAUUCCUGGCGACUGCA